ensembl:lncRNA
CUCAUAAGCUGGACAGACGUGCAUUGAGCGGAGGUGGCCCGGCUGCGCCGGCUGACUGCUUCCCGGAUACCACAUCAGUAGACAGUGCCCUGUGCUGCAUCACCCCCGCUGACCUGCUGGAAGUAUUUAAGGUAUUUGUUUUUGAUAAGAGGUCAGAUCUGCAGUGUCACGGCUCACAGGAAUUUUGUGGGCUGUUGUGCACACGUCUGAGAAGCAGAUAGAUUUUAUGGUGCUGACAUUCCACCCAUCAGCAAGCAUUUAAGCUCAGUGCUGUCUGAGUGCCUGCUGACCCCAUGGCCUCUCUGGUCUGGAAGACGGAAGUGCCGGUCCUGUGUCAGCUCAUCUGAUUGAUCACAGAGUCUCUGGUAUCCAGCCUGACGCCUGGCACACAGAGUAUAGUCUAUAAGUGGCACCUUUUAUUAUGAUCCUGCUCCCUUCUUUUUCAUCUACUCCCCUCUCCUCUCCCACCUCCAAACGUCUCAGUUACCAGAACAUUGCCCCAAAGAGUUUCUUCUUAUUUACCAUAGCUUUGCUUUGGCUUCACAUUGAUUACAACCUAACGCCCAGUCCUGCUGCUUCACUGUGGGGCUCCACAGAGAAGAACCACCUUUCAUCUCCUCAAAGGGUUCACUCUUCGCAUUUCACCAAGAAGAUGAAAGAAUGGGGGGAGUGAGGGAAGCUCUCCAGGACCUUCAAAAAGGAGCGAGCUAAUUGCGCAGUGGUAAAGCAUUCACCUGUCAAUGCAGGAGACACAGGAGACUCAGGUUCAAUCCCUGGGUUGAGAAGAUCCCCUGGAGGAGGGCACAGCAACCCAUUCCAGUACUCUUGCCUGGAGAAUCCCCAUGGGCAGAGGAGCCUGGUAGGCUACAGUCCAUGGGGUUGCAAAGAAUCGAACAUGACUAAGCACGCCUGCAACCACUGCUUAGUUGCAUCCUGCCUUUCCCUUGAGCUGACCAUCGGCUCCUCACAUCCUCAUCUCCACUAGCUUCACGACUGUUGGAUCAUGUGGCCUGAGCAGAACUGUCUGCCUGCAGCCUGGGCCUGGUGAAGAGUUUUUCCUGUUCCAUGCCCCAUGCACAUUUGUGUGACGGGGUGUGUGGACUGUGAGAAUAAGUCCAAAAACAGGGGAGAGGAGAGGCAAGUGCCUGGCUUGCCUCCCGGUCAUCCCAGUAUAGCUCAGAGCAGAGCAGAGUGGGGUGAGGCCAGGAAGAGAUGCCCUGUGGCUGCCAAGGCACCUCAGGGGUCUCAGAAGGGUGCUUCUCAUGGAAGCCAGAGGGAAGCAGUGUGGCGAGGUUACAGGGAGCUCAAGUCCAGGCUGAGGGCAGCAGGGUCACUGGGGCUGUCCCAGACAAGAUGUCAGCAUCAGGGCAACUCUAGUUCUCUUGUUUUUUCCUUCGUAUUUUGAAAAAAUAGUCUCAAGUUCAGAGAGGCUAAAAGUUACUUGCUCCAGGAAACAUACCAGUCAUCAAAGCUGAAUGAUGUGAACAAAACUUAAUACAGAGAUAAUCCCAGUGAUUAAACAUAUGUG